GACGAACGCUGGCGGCGUGCCUAAUACAUGCAAGUCGAGCGAAGUUUUUCUGGUGCUUGCACUAGAAAAACUUAGCGGCGAACGGGUGAGUAACACGUAAAGAACCUGCCUCAUAGACUGGGACAACUAUUGGAAACGAUAGCUAAUACCGGAUAACAGUAUUUCUCGCAUGAGAGAUAUUUAAAAGUUGGUUAUGCUAACACUAUGAGAUGGCUUUGUGGUGCAUUAGCUAGUUGGUGGGGUAAAGGCCCACCAAGGCGACGAUGCAUAGCCGACCUGAGAGGGUGAUCGGCCACACUGGGACUGAGACACGGCCCAGACUCCUACGGGAGGCAGCAGUAGGGAAUCUUCCGCAAUGGGCGAAAGCCUGACGGAGCAACGCCGCGUGAGUGAAGAAGGAUUUCGGUUCGUAAAGCUCUGUUGUUAGGGAAGAAUGGAUAUGUAGUAACUAUACAUGUAAGAGACGGUACCUAACCAGAAAGCCACGGCUAACUACGUG
rnacentral:rRNA from 1 species